AAAAGAGAUCCCCACUUUUAGGGUAAAGUCCGGGGAUCAAGCCCAUUCGUGCUUGAGAGACCUAAAUUGUUAGGUGCUAAGAAAAGCUCGCUGAAAAAGCAAUGGUUCGCAGCAUAAUUAAAUAGCCAUAUUUCUUCCUUGCUGGGUUUGAUAUAUCACCAGUGUAUGAAAUAUCUGCUUUGAUCAACACUCCUGCGUUUCCGACUGCUUUCGUUCCAAUUAUCAGAUUUGGAAAGUAAUUUAACGAGUCGAAUAUUCUGAAGACUUUCUGGAAGCAUCAUACCCUCGGCAACUUUUAUUUGGGAUUGGAUGAGGUCAACACUAAAAUGAUUUCUUCUGUGACUGUGUGUUCUACUUGGAGAGGGGCGUUUACCUCUGUAAAGUAAAAUUUGUCUUGCGCUUCAACCAGGGAUUCAACGGUUCCUGCAUUUUCAUAGCCUACGUGUUUUGCCAGCUUCAGCAUAUUUUCAAAAGAUUGUUCAGUUAUCUUUGGUUCCAAUUUUGGUGCGAGAGCGAUUUCUACUACUUUUUGGUGCCUCAUUUGUACAGAACAGUCUCUCUCAAAUAAGUGGAUGUUUCCAGUUUUGUCUCCGAUAAGCUGUACUUUGAUAUGUCUCGGUUUUUCAAUAAAUUUUUCAAUGAACAUAGCUCCAUUGCCAAAAGCUGCUGCAGCUUCAGAGCUUGCUCGCCCAAAUGCUUCUGCGACACCUAUUUAAGAGAACUGUCACAUCAGAUGGACAACAAGUUCACAAAGCAAAGUGGACUGAUUAAAAAUGUUUUAGUGGACAAUCGAGGUAAAAGAUUUUGUAUUCUAAAAAGUUGCGAUGUGACAGCUUAAUUUUUCUCUUCAUCAGGAAAAUUGCCAUCAGGGUAUUUUUUGCCUGUGCUGAAUUGGUAAAAAAAUCAAUAGCCAUGUUUUCAGAUCAUGACAAAAUGCAGAUGUUCAGCUAAAAGGCAGACGAGAAAUAAGUAAUAGGAAUGUCCAGGCCCAUCGUAAUAUACCUGAAAUCGUUCAAGUUGCAAAGAAAAGCUGUGUUGACAUAAUCCACCCUGGAUACAGAUUUCUUUCAGAGCCAAUUUUGCAAAAGCCACUAUAGAUGCAGGUCUGAGAUUCAUUGGUCCUUCCUCAAAAUUUAUCAAGCAGAUGGGAGAUAAAGUUACCACGCAACAGGCAGCGCUGACUCUGGUACACCUGGGCCAGUUAAAACAUCAGAUGAAGCAGUCAAAUUGUGCCAGAAACAUGGGCUCGAUGCAAUAUCAAACGGGCUUUUAGUGGCGACACAAGAGGAAAGCGAGUCAUCAGGGAAAUGAAGUAGGAUGUCGCAGAAGCAUUCGGACGAGCAAGCUCUGAAGCUACAGAUGCUUUUGGCAAUGGAACAACGUUCAUUGAAAAAUUUAUUGAAAAACCCAGCCAUAUCAUCGAGCAACUUCUCAGAGACAAAGCUGGAAACAUCCACUUAUUUGAGAGAGAUUGGUCUGUACAAAGGAGACACUAAAAAGUGGUUGAAAUCGACCCCGCACCAAAAUUGGAAUCAAAGGUACUUGAUACAAUACUUGAAAGUGCACUGAAGCUGGCAAAACACGUAGGGUAUGAAAACGCAGUAAUCUUUGAAUUUCUAGUCGAAGCGCAAAACAAAUUUUACAUUAUAGAGGUAAAUUCCCGUCUGCAAGUAGAACCCACAGUCACGGAAAAAAUCACUAGUGUUGGCCUCAUUCAAUCCCAGAUAAAAGUUGCUGAGGUUAUGAUGCUUCCAGAGAUGUCUUCAGAGUGUUUGACUCAUUAAAUUACUUACAAAAUUUGAUAAUUGGAAUGAAAGCCGUUGGAAACGUGCGAGUGUUGAUCGAAGCGGCUAUUUCAUACACUGGUGACAUAUUGUAACCCAAGGAAGAAAUACGACCUGCAGCAUUAUAAGACAUUGUCUAAGAUGCUGGGGAAUGCUAGGAUUCACAUUUCAUCCUUUAAACUCUAAGGGAUCAACACGCUGAUGUAACGAUAAAGUACACACUCGUGACACACAGAACCAUAAAAACAAUUGACAUUGAAACAUUGGACUAAAAGUAGAAGGCAAAGAUUUGUAUGUUUCUAUCUGUAUGAAAAAUAAAGUUGUUCUCCCUUAUAAUAUUUUAAA